AAUAGAGUAGGAUAAAUAUAAGUCUGUUGGGUUCAUACCUCAAAGGUUAAUCUGUUA
rnacentral:tRNA from 1 species